rnacentral:rRNA from 1 species
UACGGAGGGGGCUAGCGUUGUUCGGAAUUACUGGGCGUAAAGCGCACGUAGGCGGCUUUGUAAGUUAGAGGUGAAAGCCCGGGGCUCAACUCGGAAUUGCCUUUAAAAACUGCAUCGCUAGAAUUGUGGAGAGGUAAGUGGAAUUCCGAGUGUAGAGGUGAAAUUCGUAGAUAUUCGGAAGAACACCAGUGGCGAAGGCGACUUACUGGACACAUAUUGACGCUGAGGUGCGAAAGCGUGGGGAGCAAACA